rnacentral:lncRNA from 1 species
UACUUUGGUCCUCUAGUGCUGAAAGGAACCAAGCAUUCCAUGUUAUGGCUGCAGCUGAGUAGACAAAUUAUUUGCAAGAAAAUGCCUCACCAGGCUAGCCGUCUAAAUGAGAUGAGUCCCAAGGGAGAGAAACAGGGAAAUGCAAGUAGGUGGCAGUUUGAGUGCCCAUCCUCUCCUCUGUGCUGUCCUUCCAUAUGUACAUACUGAAUGUAUAGACGAGUGUGAGCUCUUCCUCGUUGUGAGUGUAAAUCUUGUAAAUCAGGACCCGUUCACUUGGUUUUUUGCUCCUCCUCUUCCUUUCCCUCCUAUUUAUUCUUUUCCAGACUCCCACCUGGGGCAUCUUCGUCCCUUUUUUUUUUUUUUUAAACUUAGGAAACUGUGGAAUACUUCUUAGCAGAGUCAGUACUUUUGUGUUUAAGAGUUCGUCUUUGCCUCGUGGCUCUGGGGUUCUUGUUACCCACAUCUUGGGAUGCAUCUGCGCACCACCCCUCAUCCUGUUACCAGGUGACUGGUUAUGCUCUUUUUUCGUUCUCUGGAAGCUAUAGUGAGCUUCAUCCUUUCAUAUUUGAAAAAGGAAAGGAAAGGAAAGGAAAUGCUUCCUGGACUCCCCUUAAGCACCUCUAUCGUCUUCAGUCAGCCAGAUGCAGCUCCUCAGAAGCCUGACUCAUUGUUGCUCCAGUUGAGACCUGCCUGCUCCAGUCCUCCCGCUCCUGCUGUUUGCCCGAUGGGAAAACCUUGCAGUUAGACAGUAGCUCAGAGCC